GUUCUGCAAAUGAGGUCGCCAAGGAUAAAGUAGAAAGAAGGGAGCUUAAUUGAAAUUGAAUUUCAAAUAUGACGGUAAUAGAGCUCAAAGUGUUCAUGCAUUGUGAGGCUUGUGAAAGGUCCGUCUUCAACACCCUUCGCAAAUAUAGAGGCGUUAAAGAAGUGAAAACAGACAUGGAAUUGCACAGAGCUACGGUGACCGGGCAAAUCGAUCCGGCAAAAAUCUUGAAAAAACUCAAGAAAAAGACUGGAAAGAGAGCAGAAAUCAUAGAAAAUAUUGGCGAUGAAGAUGAACAGGAAGCAAACCAAAUGAACUUGACGCCAAAAAAUUUCACCUUGCAUGAUGUAGAUCAUGACCAUGUUAGUAAUAUAAUUGACAUUUUAAAUAAACACCCGGUGAUAAACUUUGAUAUGUUUAGCGAUGAGAAUCCAAAUGCAUGCUCAAUUGUAUAGCUAUACGUUCCAUGAUUUGUCUUUUUGGUUCU